AAAGGGCCUCAGCACUUAGCAUGGUGGAGGAGUCAGAGGAAGUGAGGAUGCAGAUGGGGACAGCGGGCAGGAGGAGAAGUAGAGAGAAGUGGAGGGAAGAGACACUGAGGGGAAAGAGAAAGCACGCAUGCACAUAGUUACAAGGUUUCCCUUCAACUUCCCCCAAAGCUUAAUAGAUUUCUAAAUGGGCUUAUUAUCACCACCUAUGAAUUAUUUUAAAGGAUCUAAUUAUAAAACACCAAACUAGCUAAUUAGGUUUCCUGAGCUCUCCUUGACACAGGUGCAAACAGGCUCUCUGGAUGGUAGUUCUGGCAAAGCCUGCAGAGCCGAGUCCAUGGGGGUGGGAGGCUGCCUGUGGCCCACAAUUAGGCCUCUAAUUGUAGGUGUCCUCCUGCCACUGCCAGGCCUCCAGAGACGCUGGCUGCCUGACCUCUCACCUGAUGGAUAGGAGCAGAGGGCCUGCAGAACAGGGUGCAGCUUCCCUUGGGCCUCUCGGGUUUUGAGGCUGAGGAUGAAGCGAGAAUUGGACAGCUAAUGAUGAUCACGCAGGCUUCACCCCAUUCCUCCACCUCCCUCAUCAUCUCUACCACACGAGCCUCAUUGUCUCUCCGUGAGGUGGCCCCAAGAAAGUCUGAGGUUUGUGAACUACAUAGCACUUACUGCCCCAAGCUCCUUACCACUGUCCCCUUCUCCAAGUCAGUCACCACUCUUGCCAGCUCUGUCCUGGUCCCCCAACUCCUCUGCGGCCAUACAGGGUCCCAAUGUCCCUCUUUCACCGGAGCCUUUCCACUUUACCAGCUUGACAUAUUAAACUUCUGAGUAGAAUGUUACCAUUUAACCACAGGUGCCAUGGCUUUAAGAGAUGUGGAAACCCUGGAGCUGGAAACCCACACCCCAGGCCUUACCUCUCUGAGCCUCAUUUCCGUUGUUCUCAGGUGUGGGUGAUGCCACCUAUCUCUGACAGUCAUGGUGAGGAGGAGCAGAAACUCUACACGAGACGCACUUAAGCAGCGCUUGUUACACACUAGGGCGGGGCUAGGUUCCCCUCUCUCCUUCCUCCUCUGGGUUCCAGACGGGCUCCAGUGGGGCUGGUUCUCUUGGAUCCAGAGAUGUCUCUGGGCUGCACUAGCCCAUCCCCUUCAUUCCAUUAGUAAAUCCUGGAGUCCAGGAGCUGCAUCAAAUUCACUGCAGCUCAACAAACCUCUGGUGGGUGCCUGUUGUGCGCCAGGUGCCCUGACAGUGGCUGAAGAUGUAGAGACGGAACAAGAAAGGACCUCGUACCCUGGAAGCUCCAGUGUGGAUAAGCCUGACGGGGUGGAGAGUAAUUGGAAAGGAGCGGCCUCAUCCCCAACUCCAAAUUAAUAUUUUCCUGUCCUGAUUUAAUUCCGCCCGGGAACAGAGACACAGAGACACGCCGUGUCAAGCGCUAAGUAAUCCGCCAUGAGCCACCUGAGGAGGAGGAAGGACUCCUUUUCUUUGCGAAACUGGGAUUGGAGAGGAGGGAAUAAGUGCUGUCUGGAAGAAGAGAAGAGAGAAGCCCAGCGAGUGGUGUAACUAGUUUGGAGUGUGCUGUGUGAUGUCAUCUGUUCCCCUGUCUUACCAUGGAAACUUCAGUAAAAUCCCCUCUGCCCACCCACACUUUGGGAAUUGGAUAUAUAUGUGAUACGUGCUACAGAGUGAGCGUGGGGGUAGAGCAGAGGCUGACCUGCAUUCAGGUCCCGCAUGUGGAGGAUUGCCCGAUCAAUUACUCCUUUCCACAGCCAUCCAUGGACUGCAGACCAUGCACCAGCGUGGUGCCAAAGCUGGGAACAACCCCGAAUGUGAUGUGGUCCUGCCCUCCAUCAAAGACCAGAGGGGAGGACUCCGCAGACCUAUUAGUUCAGAACCCAGGAUGGAUUCUCCAGGGGGCAGAGGAGUCCUACCUGAGCAGCUUCUGGAAGCCAGAGUGGGGCCAGCACAUACAUUUUCCCACUCAGUCCUCAGAAACUCGGCUCAGAGGGUAGGGGACUGGCUCAGGGUCACACAGCUGGGAGGAGGUAAAGCCGGAUGCGCCCCCAGGUGUGUAACUUUAUAGAUCAGCAUUGCUCAGGGCUCACCAGCCAUGCUGAUGCAGAAAUGAAGACGGGCACUCUGUCCCCUUGCCCCAGGCAGCCUCAGCGCUGCAUUUCUGUCUCGACACUCCCCCGACAGCGGAAGGACCCCUCACCUCCAGCCUUGGGCUUUAUCCCAGCUGUCGCCAAAGUUGCAGACAUGACUUAGGGCCAGAAGAUCCUCACAGGCUCUGCCCUCAUCCUGCCCACUGCUCCUGCCCCCGACCUCAGGGACUUCAGGGGACACGUAUGGCUUUUAUCUGCCUGGCAUCUAUCUCUUUUAAAACUACCUCAAAUUUCCUUUGGUGCCUGCAUCCCCCUCCCACUAUGAGUCCAUGUGGCCCUCAGAGGCAGAGCCCACUCCCAAGCUCCAGGGUUGGCUAUGGGCCUGAAAUCCUCCCCCCGCCCUUGGCCACAGUGACUGGUUCAUGGGAGGACAUGUGACCUAACCUGGGCCAGUGACACUCAGUCUUGAGAAUUUUACUGUUACUACUGAGAAGGAGAUGCUCCCUUUGUUGAACCAUUAGGAUGUGGGCCUAGUGCUAUAGGCAGCCGUCUUGUGAUCACAGGGAGAGAGCAAGCCUGAGGAAGAGCCCAGCCUAGAAGAAGCCAAGAAGAGCUGAGAGGUGAAGACGGAUCUUUGAUAAUGUUUUCUGAACUUCCGGAUCACACUGCCCCUAAAGACGCCCUUCCCCUCUUCAAUAGUCAGUAACCUCCCUUCUGCUCAAGCCAGCUUGAGUUUAGGUUUCUAUCUGGCUCUUUCCCCAAAGUGAAAAGAGUUGGGACUAAUUUAGGCAUCAACAUCUUGUAGGAAUUGUGCCAAUGUGUUAACCGCUGCCCACUCUAAUCCCCUGGAAGGAAUCUGAGAUGAAUUGAAUCCAAAUCCAUCUUUGACAGUGGAGGAAACUGAAUCCCAGAUUUAGAAAAACAAAGUAACAUCCAAAGCCACAGAACCAGUAAGGGGCAGAACUGAGAUUCCAACUCAAACCUGAAGACUCUUCAUCCUGAGUCCAUUCUGGACCAUCGUGUGAUUCAUUUGUUUAGUUCUGAAAAGGUCUGCAUGCAGUGUGUGUACAUAGCAUGGAUGUGUUUCUGUGUCCUCAGAGAGAUACUGAGGUCCUCAAGGGCCAGGCUUGUGCCGCUGACAUCCCUGACAUCUCCCAGGCCCAAGUUAACACAGUGGUUGUCCUCAAGGGAUCCCUGACAUCAAGUAUAAAUGGGCUUCCAAAGAAUGCCACUCUGGCAUGCCCAGAGCUGGGAGGUUAUCUGGUUCUGGGAAUGACACUGAGAGGCCAGGGUGGGAGUUUACAGGCCUCCCCAGCAGGCAGGCAGAAAGAUGAAAACACAGACACUUGGAGACAAAGGGCUGAAGCCAUGCCCACUGAGGACCCCGGAGAGGAAGGCCAGGAUCUCAGAGCGGGCAGAGGAAGAAGUCAGUGGGCAACUGUCAAGGAGACACAUGAUUGUGUAAGGUGGGUACAUCUGUGUAAAGUAGCCGCUCCAUUCUUAAUUGCAUCAGGCCAAACCCCCUGGUCCAUCCAGACAAGACCCUGGACCCCAAAUCCUGGGGCAGCCUAGACCCAAGCCCAAGCCUCUUACAGCAUCACUGCCCUCUCUCCUGACUCAUCCCUACAGGGCUUCUCCCUGUGCCCAUCCCUGUGGGAGGAUGUACUCUCCACUCCAUUGACACCGGACUUGAUGAUAUGGCUCCUUUUGGUGAACGGAAGAGGAACAGAAGUGACAUCCAAGCAAAAACUUUAGGAGUGUCACAUGUUUCCACCAUCUUUCUUGAUCUUUUCCCUCUGCCCCCAGAAUAACAUAUCUUGGAUCAGGCCUGCUUUUUCACUCUGAACCCCAGAAUGAAGAUUUAUAGAGCUGAGCCACCAACGGCCCACAGCAGAUAUGUACCAUGAGCAAAAAGUCAACUUUUGUUGGUGUAAGCCACUGAGAUUUGGGGAUAGAUUGUUACUGCAAACAAUUAGUUAGCAAAAGCUAACUACUACAGAGGGCAACGCGCACAGCUUUAAGGCCACUUAUGACAACCCAAUGGGGAGCCAAGUGGCUCCCCACGUUGCUUCAAAUCAAAGGGUACAGUGGCUUCCAUUGAACAUGAACAGGAGUCACAUGGGAUACUUAGUGAAAUGCAGAUUCCCAGAUCCCCCUCCUGAGAUUUGGAGCCAGUUCAUCAAGGGGGGUCCACAGAUUCGUUUUUUGACAAGCUCUGAAGAUGACAUAUGGGCUGUCAACAGACCACAC
rnacentral:lncRNA from 1 species